rnacentral:rRNA from 1 species
AUUGAACGCUGGCGGCAGGCCUAACACAUGCAAGUCGAACGAGUGGCGGACGGGUGAGUAAUGUCUGGGAAACUGCCCGAUGGAGGGGGAUAACUACUGGAAACGGUAGCUAAUACCGCAUACCAUCGGAUGUGCCCAGAUGGGAGUAGCUUGUAGGUGAGGUAACGGCUCACCUAGGCGACGAUCCCUAGCUGGUCUGAGAGGAUGACCAGACAGACUGGAACUGAGACACGGUCCAACAUCUUCGGGGAGGAAGCAGUGGGGAAUAUUGCACAAGGGGCGAAAGCCUGAUGAAGCCAUGCCGCGUGUAUGAAGAAGGCCUUCGGGUUGUAAAGUACGUUCAGCGGGGAGGCGUUACCCGCAGAAGAAGCACCGGCUAAAUCCGGGCCAGCAGCCGCGGUAAUAC